GGUGGCUGUAGCUCAGUCGGUAGAGCCCUGGAUUGUGAUUCCAGUGGUCGUGGGUUCGAUCCCCAUCAGCCACCCCAU
rnacentral:tRNA from 1 species